rnacentral:rRNA from 1 species
AUUGAACGCUGGCGGCAGGCCUAACACAUGCAAGUCGAACGGUAACAGGAAGAAGCUUGCUUCUUUGCUGACGAGUGGCGGACGGGUGAGUAAUGUCUGGGAGACCGCCUGAUGGAGGGGGAUAACUACUGGAAACGGUAGCUAAUACCGCAUAACGUCGCAAGACCAAAGAGGGGGACCUUCGGGCCUCUUGCCAUCGGAUGUGCCCAGAUGGGAUUAGCUAGUAGGUGGGGUAACGGCUCACCUAGGCGACGAUCCCUAGCUGGUCUGAGAGGAUGACCAGCCACACUGGAACUGAGACACGGUCCAGACUCCUACGGGAGGCAGCAGUGGGGAAUAUUGCACAAUGGGCGCAAGCCUGAUGCAGCCAUGCCGCGUGUAUGAAGAAGGCCUUCGGGUUGUAAAGUACUUUCAGCGGGGAGAAAGGGAGUAAAGUUAAUACCUUUGCUCAUUGACGUUACCCGCAGAAGAAGCACCGGCUAACUCCGUG